rnacentral:rRNA from 1 species
ACGAUUCCUACGGGAGGCAGCAGCAGGGAAUAUUGCGCAAUGAGCGAAAGCUUGACGCAGCGACACCGCGUGUGGGAUGACGGAUCUAGGUUUGUAAACCACUUUCAGGAGGGAAGAAAAUGACGGUACCUCCACAAGAAGCCCCGGCCAACUACGUGCCAGCAGCCGCGGUAAUACGUAGGGGGCGAGCGUUGUCCGGAUUUAUUGGGCGUAAAGAGCUCGUAGGCGGUUCAACAAGUCGGUCGUAAAAGUUCAGGGCUCAACCCUGAAAUGUCGAUCGAUACUGUUGUGACUAGGAUACGGUAGAGGUGAGUGGAAUUCCGAGUGUAGCGGUGAAAUGCGUAGAUAUUCGGAGGAACACCAAUUGCGAAGGCAGCUCACUGGGCCGCUAUCGACGCUGAGGAGCGAAAGCUAGGGGAGCAAACAGGAUUAGAUACCCUGGUAGUCCUAGCUGUAAACGAUGGAUACUAGACGUAGGAACUGGAUUGACGGUUUCUGUGUCGUAGCUAACGCGUUAAGUAUCCCGCCUGGGGAGUACGGUCGCAAGACUAAAACUCAAAGGAAUUGACGGAAUCU